rnacentral:lncRNA from 1 species
GCGGUGAAGGUGGAGGGGGGCGUUAAGGAUCAUGGUCAGCCGGCCGGCCGGCGGCGGUUUGGAGGGAGCGCCACUGCUGAAGCUGGCUUCGGCUCCCAGCUUGGCUGUAGUGUGGCUGACUGGCUGUGGGGAGUCUUGUGGUCUUUGCGGACACACGCCGGCGGGGCAUUAUCCUUCCGCUCAGAAUAAUAAAUGGUAGCCCCUGUUGUAGAACUAAAAUUGUAUCAUUACAUUUCUUACUUUUCUUUUGUUAGCCAACUAAUUUCUCAUAUGUAUAUUUAAUAAAAAUGAUGGUAAAUAUUAGGUUUGUUUCUUCGGGGUGCAAUAUACCAAGUUUAUGAUGGGAAAAAUUUAUUUUACUAUCCUCACCAAUUCAUUUUAUUUACUUGCGAACUGAGCACAACUCAACUGGUAAGCUUUCUUAUGGUGGAAUCUGCCCACCUGGAUUUAAGUUCCCGACUCAGCAUGGGUGCUCGUAUUUUUCUAGAUUUAUUGUAGAAUUUAACCAGCACUGUUCCUAGGUGAUAUGACCGUCGAUAGCGAGGCGCCUGUGGUGGCUUUGUCAAUCUCGAGAAUCUGCCGGCUCAGUCUUUCGGAUGGAUGUGCCGGCUCAUCUCUCGGAUGUGCUUAUAGAAGUAGGGUUGCGUGUAUGUAUUCACAGGGGUGAGAGUGCAUACGUAUUAACAUCGGUUCCAUGUUUUGCAAAAAAACACUUUAAUUACUUAACUUCCGGAAUAAAAUUUAUACUCAAUUUACUUUCUUAAACUAUUUCAAUUGGUUCUAUGUACAUCUUAAUUAAUUUUAUCUUUUUUAUUCUUCUUGUACAAGUUGAGUUUUAAUUCUGUUGGAUAUGGUUGGAACAACAUGCUUGCAAGACUGCAGGGAGUAGGAGGAAAUACAUGAUCCUAUGCCAUCACAAGAGAUCUCCAAAGCAAAAUUUAGGCAAAAAGUGAUAAGUGACCUUGCAAUCCCAUAACAAGAAGUCACUUCUCGUUCAAAGAGUAACAUGGUGUUAGAUAUGAUAUUUGUCUGUUCCAGACCUGAGAAAAAUCUCGGGACGUGCCAACAAAAAGUUCGAAAUAUUUGGAGCCAACGUUCGCCCACGAAAGGUAUCGGGUCAAAAGUUUCAGGCCAUUAUUGGACUUGACUCGGACCCGGGUCAGGUUGCCAACUAUAUUUAUGUAUAUAAAAUUAAUUGCAAUAAAUAACUGGGCCAGGUCAAGCCCGUCCAAUCUUUUUCGAGCUGAAAAAAAACAGGCGCCACACUAGUCCUAUCGGAGAGACGGGUCGGGCUUAGGUUCUAUUUGAAGGACUAAAUUUUAAACGUAAAAUUCAGUCUAUUAUGUAAUUUUAAAUAGGUCGACUAAACUUUGGAGUAAAGAUCAGUUUCAUCCCAAUUAAAAUUUAGUCUAUUAGUCCAUAAAAUCUACUUAAAGUUUAGUUUCACCCAUUUAUAUGUUUCAAAUUAGUUUCGAGCUAAAGUUUAGAUUAUGGAUCCAAAUAGGUAUGGGCUAAAUUUUAGUUACCUAAUGUUUAGUUAUCUAAAGUUUAUUACAGACUGAAUUUUAAUCCAUAGACUAAACUUUAGUCAUAGAUGGACCUAAUAUUUAGUCACCUAAAAUUUAGUCCUAGGUAUGCCAAAUGGGAUCUUAGCCUGGCAGCUCGGACCACAUUGGACCGAGUCUCAUUUGCUCAGGUUUAGUUUGUCAUAUGGUUAAAUCUGUUGGUGUUUCAAUUUGUUACAAAACUUCUUUUUCAUCAUCGUAUUUGCAAAUUUUCUUGCUCCUACCGUAGGACCAAAUUUCUUAGUUAAUUAGUUAGAGAAACUGGUUCUCACAGCUAAAAAUACGAUUUUUACGGGCGGGUAACACGUCCGCCCCUAAAAAUAAUUUCUAGGGAUGGGUCACACCCGCCUCUACAAAUUUUCAGAAAAUAAAAAAAGAAAAUAAUUAAAAAAAUAAAAGAAAAAAUAUUGCAGCCUACCAGCCACCACCACAAGCCCAUGUACUAAUCGAACUAUAUUUUUUUGAUAAAAUAUGCACACUUGCAUCACCCGGGGUUCGAACCGCAUACCUCAAGUCUCACGCGUACCUUCCUUUGUGACUCUAUGGGGUAUGCUAUUCUUUUAUAUUAACUCUGAAAUUAAUUGUAGGGGCGGAUGACGCCAUCAUCGGUCCCUAGAAAUCCGUUUCUAGGGACGGGUGACGCCACCACCCGCCCCUAAAAAUAUUUUCCAAUUUUAUUCCGAAAAUUCAUUUAAAUCUUUCCAUAUAGCAAAACAAAUCAAGAAAAAGUGAAACUUCUACACUAUGGUUAGAUAAAAAAAUAUGAAGCUAAAAAUAACCUUUUGAGAUAGUAUAUAGUCAUAGCAUUCAUAAUAUUUUUUUGGACUAUUAAAUAACUUUAAAUGAAAAAGUUAUCAACUAUAAAGUUUUUAAAUCUCAUCAUUCUCUACAAUUUUGAUAUAAAGUUUGACUUCAACCAAGAUCGUAUGAAAAAGUUAUGAAUUUUUUUUGUGUAGAACCUUUUUAGGGGGUGGGUCGUACCAUCACCUGCCCCUAAAAUUAUAUUUCUAAUAGCGAGUCGGAUGCUACAGUAACCACAUUCUAUUUGUAGGAUAUUUGCAGAAACGGGUUACUUUUUGACCUAACAAAAAGGACGUCCCUACAAAUUAUUUUUUAGUAGUGUAUUGAUUAAAUAAGGAAUUAGAUCACGGCGUACAUACUGAGCAUUGUAGAUGAAGGUACCUUGGCUAGUGCAGAUGGGUUCAUGUUGAUGGAUCACAUAAGCCAGGAACGAAGAUGACGGUAUUUUGUGAUAGUCAAUGUAUAGUAGGAAGAUAUAUAAUGGUGAAGAACUUGAACCUCGCGUGCAGAGAGCUUACUAAAAACCUUAUUUACCUCUUUAAUUUCAGUGUAUGAUUACAAACACAAAGGAUUCCGGGAACAUGCUCUCCUGUUAUCCAUGCAUGUUGAGGAAAAACGAUUAGAUGACCAUUUGCCGAUGGCUGUUAACUCACACAUAUAGGAGCCAUAUGAUCUCACAUCACGAUCAUGAUCUAAACUGAUUCAAUUGCCAUUUCUCACAUACUUGUAGGCUAAGUAAGAAAAAUUAAACUGCAAAUGGAAAUUGCGCCACAGGAAGGUGAGGAUCGGAUUUGGUGGACCAUUAACACAGGUGUGCCUGCGCAUGUUGCCUUGGCCGGAGCCCGAUAAGGCGAGUGACUACGCGCAUGUGGUGUUUUCUGUCUCACCACACACAUAGUUUGGUGGAGUGAAGAUAAUAUCAUUAUUUAAGUUGGUGGUCAUUCUCAUAAUUUAUUUGCCAUGCCAUCAAUUUUAUUAAUGUGUCACCUCAGAUAAGGAGGAUGAAAGUCUCACUGAUCAUGGCCUAAGGAACUAAUUACCUUUCCAUCGUAACUGGACUAAUGAUUAAAAUUCUAAGGUUUUUUCUUCCCGUGGUAGCACUAUACAUUGGUGUCCAUCAACUUAAAAGGAUCCUUUGGAACAAAAAAAACAGAUCCAUUUUAUCCUAUAGCGAAAUUUCCAAAAUGUCCUAUUGGAACGAGGGAUUGCACCAUGUGAAUUCUUUAGAAUUCUCAUGAGAUACAAAAAUCCAUAGGAAUGUUGCAGGAAAACUAACACAUAAGGUUGUCAUGAAAACUUUUAUUUGCGUCUAUCUUUCUCUUCAGAUUUUUGUGUUUCUCCUAUAUUGCAUCCAAAUGCUAUAUUUAAAACUUUCCUGUCUUUUGAAUUCUAGUAGGAUUGCAAGUUCCACAUCACAAAGCUUAUGUUGAUUUUUUGUUCGAAAGAGGCCUUAAAACAUGUUUACAUACGUUUCCUUUUGAUAAAACCCCAAAUGCAAGUUAUAUUAGUAGCAAAAAAUUAACAAGCAUGAACAAUCACUACUACUGAACUGCCUGGUAGGAAUUUGAACCAAGGCUACACAGCAUCCGGGUACUACUCCCGGUUAAAAAACCGAGAAAUAAAUUGAUCCUCACGCAUGGUUUUCGUUCUCAUGAACCGAUAGUGACAAAACUAUCAACUUCACUAGCGAUUUGUACUACCAACCGGAGUAAAUCACUUUCGACUUUAAUGGUCUCCAUGUUCCCUCCACGUGUUUGUACUUUGUUACCGAAAAAACUCCAAAAAGGAUGUAACAAGAUAUUACUGGGAAUCUGGUGGUAGUAUUUCGUCUUUUCUCAAACUAAUAUAGGAACAAUUGUGAAGCAUGAGAAAAACAUGGAAUUUAAGGAAAGUGACAAUGAUAGUAAUGUAAGAAAUUUCUCAUGAGAUGCAGUAUAAAGACAGCACGAAGUUAUUGUUGAGAUGGCAAUAUGUACUAGAAUCAUCCUUAUUAUUGCUAUCAUUAUGUAUAUAGCCAGACCCAAAAUGUUCAUUCCUCACUCAACAAUAGUAGUUGUAGACUUUACGCAAUGUCAGCCGAAGGGACAUAUCAUACACGUAGUACAUACACAACACUCAGAUGGACAAAGAUACAAAUGGCACAAAGAAAAUCAAAGGCGAGAUCUCCCAAAGUAAGCAGGAGUACUGAUGCAGCACUCCAUGGAGUAGUGGCUAGCUGCUUCACUGUUGCGGAUGAAGCAGCUUAAUUAAAAUGAGGCUCGUGGUUCUUAGGCCCCGCCGGUCUACUCGCUGCUUGGGGGCUUGUAGGCGAGGAACAUGACGCACUGCACCUGCCUGACGUUGUCGAAUCCGAGGAUGCGGAUGUAGUGGUCGGGGUAGGCCUUCUUGGCCUCCUCAAGCUCGGCGUACACCUGGGUGGCGUCGGUGCAGCCGAACAUGGGCAGCUUCCACAUGGUCCAGUAGCGGCCAUCGUAGUACCCGGGAGAAGUGGCGUUCUCACGGAAGACGAAGCCGACCUUGCUGAACUCGAGGCAGGGGACCCAGUUGUUCCGGAUCAGGUAGUCGAUCUGCUUCAAGAGGUCCUCCGUGGAGAGAGGCGGCAGGUACGACAGGGUCUCGAACUUCUUGUUGUUCUCAGUCGGCCACACCUGAACAACGACGCACCAAUACCAUCAGUUUCCUAGCUAGACCUCUUAUUGAGUUGCGUUCAGCUCAGUUUUGAACACCACCAAGAAUCCAAUUCCAGCUAGUAGAUUGUUACCUGCAUGCACCUGAUCCUUCCGCCGUUGCUGACGUACUUGCCGAAUCCGGACCUGCUGGAGCGGCGGCUCACGGGGAGUACUCCAGCGGUGGACUUGAGGCCCUGGAAAGGAGCCACGGAGGUGGCCGAGGAGGCCAUAACAGUGGGAGCCAUGGCUUUACUAGCUACUAGUACUGGUGAGGAUGCAGCGCGCAGCAGC